rnacentral:rRNA from 1 species
UACGGAGGAUCCAAGCGUUAUCCGGAUUUAUUGGGUUUAAAGGGUGCGUAGGCGGACCUUUAAGUCAGUGGUGAAAGUUUGCGGCUCAACCGUAAAAUUGCCAUUGAAACUGAAGGUCUUGAGUGCAAAUGAGGUAGGCGGAAUGUGUUGUGUAGCGGUGAAAUGCUUAGAUAUAACACAGAACCCCGAUUGCGAAGGCAGCUUACUGGGAUGCAACUGACGCUGAGGCACGAAAGCGUGGGGAUCAAACAGG